UCCUACUCUACUCAAUCUGUUCCUCUCUUCCUCUCACACACUCUUUUCCUUUCAUCUCUCAAACUUCUCAAACCUGCAACUACCUCUCUCUCUCUGCUCUUUGAUACCCACUUAACGAGAUCACCUCCACUGUGUUCGUGAGGAGGAAACGAAGCCAGUCCUGCCCUCCGCUCGCUCCACCGCCGCACCGGCCGCCGCACACCGCCAUCUUCUCCGGCCAGCUUCGCCGGAGUUCGUCUUGGAAUUCGGUCAAGAACAACUUCUCUCAAUUCCUCUUGAUAACACAGAGAUAGCUGAGGGAGAUGGACCUUCCAGUUGAGAUGAUACUAGCGGACUUUUCCUCGCCGGAGGGAUGAUAUAUUGACCCUCACACCGGUAGCUGUACAUAUGUAGGGAUGUCGACGUUCUGGUAUCGCCAUCCCAAUAGUCCUGUACCUGGUUACCCAGUUUCUUUUCCUCGGAUGUUCAGUUUCAUCAUGCCCCCACACUUCCUAGCUCAGGAGAUCUUGGAGGAGCCUCCGCUACCACCUAUGCCGAACUUCACCGCUCCUUUGGCAGUUGUACCACCACCACCACCGGAGCUUCAGCCUGACAUGCCCGUGGAGAAUGGGCAUGUGAAGGAGGUACCCGGUACGGACACGAGGAGGAGGAGAGAGGGACGCCCCCGUAGGUGGGAUGUGGGGCCUAGCGACUAGAGGAGGAGCUAGUGAUGGUGUCUGUUGAUGUCCUGUGUCCUGUCUUUUUGUUGUUCUCUGAUGAAGAUGUACUCUUAGGACCACUGAGCUAUUUUUGUGGUACCCUUGUAUGAUGAGCUCAGUUUAGUAGGACUCUAAUGACAGCCGUGCGGUUUGGCUUAGUGAUGUAUGUUUUAGGUGGCGGCAG